UGGCUCAGUGGUAGAGUUCUUGCCUUGCAUGCAUGAGGCCCUGGGUUCGAUUCCCCAG
rnacentral:tRNA from 1 species